rnacentral:lncRNA from 1 species
AAUCACAAAGACUCCUCGGCGUGCACCCCUAUUUAUAUUGCACGUAGGGGUGCAAACCAAAACAUCUCAUGCCCUCUCACACUUUAUCUCACACCUCCUUUCUAUUUCUCAUGCCCCAUAAAUUAUAAAAUGCCAUGUGUACAUCAAAGUUGGGUUGAAGAGGUGCCUUAUUUCAGAAGGACUCUUCGAUCUUAACUUACGGUGUUCAGAUGAGAAGUCACAAAGCUUCUCUUAUUGGCACCAUCAACCCAUGCCUUUGGAUCUGGAAGGAAGCCCAUCCAAUGGCCAAGAUA